rnacentral:rRNA from 1 species
CCUACGGGUGUCAGCAGUGGGGAAUAUUGGACAAUGGGCGAAAGCCUGAUCCAGCCAUGCCGCGUGUGUGAAUAAGGCCUUCGGGUUGUAAAGCACUUUCAGUGGGGAAGAAAGCCUUGGGGCUAAUACCCUCGAGGAAGGACAUCACCCACAGAAGAAGCACCGGCUAACUCCGUGCCAGCAGCCGCGGUAAUACGGAGGGUGCGAGCGUUAAUCGGAAUUACUGGGCGUAAAGCGCGCGUAGGCGGUCUGAUAAGCCGGUUGUGAAAGCCCCGGGCUCAACCUGGGAACGGCAUCCGGAACUGUCAGGCUAGAGUGCAGGAGAGGAAGGUAGAAUUCCCGGUGUAGCGGUGAAAUGCGUAGAGAUCGGGAGGAAUACCAGUGGCGAAGGCGGCCUUCUGGACUGACACUGACGCUGAGGUGCGAAAGCGUGGGUAGCAAACAGGAUUAGAUACCCGGGUAGUC